rnacentral:rRNA from 1 species
UACGGAGGAUGCGAGCGUUAUCCGGAUUUAUUGGGUUUAAAGGGUGCGUAGGCGGGAUGCCAAGUCAGCGGUAAAAAUGCGGUGCUCAACGCCGUCGAGCCGUUGAAUCUGGCGUUCUUGAGUGGGCGAGAAGUAUGCGGAAUGCGUGGUGUAGCGGUGAAAUGCAUAGAUAUCACGCAGAACUCCGAUUGCGAAGGCAGCAUACCGGCGCCCUACUGACGCUGAGGCACGAAAGCGUGGGUAUCGAACAGG